rnacentral:lncRNA from 1 species
UAAUACAAUUUGAUGAUGAUAUGCCUUGGAAUUUCCUCUUGUUGUGCGCAAAAAUUGUGGCCAGUGUGCCUAUUUCAAUUCAUGGGUUUGGGGGUGUUGGUUCAAAUAAUUUGCCGCAUGUUAAUCCUCAUCAACAUCACACAAAAGUGGGUGUCAAUUUAAUUGCCCAAUUAACAACCAAAUUCAUCCAAUUUCGGUCACAAACUGCCCACACCGUGGUUCUUGGUAUAUGUGGGGCUGAUUUAGUGUCGGAUUUGUAGCUGUUUGUGUAAUUGUUUGGUUUGAUGGAUUGAGGGAUUAUUGGCGUUGGUGAAGGGGUCAAAUUCCGGUGGAUUUAGCAGCGCAACACUGUAGAUUUGAGGGGAAUUGGUGGCGGCUCCAUGGAGGGGUAAAAAUCGCCCCUUUCAAGAAAGAAAAUGGGAAGGCUAGGUCAUGGACUCGAGGAUAUAUCACUAAAUUUGGAACAUUCUCCAAUUUGAUAGGAGAUUGAGGCAGUAAAACCGUGGUGGUGGAAGAAAAAGAAUGAAACAAAGUGAUUUUUAUUGUUUUAAUUUUGAUUUUUUAGAGCCUGUUUGAGGCAAUUUUAUUGUAAGAAUCCAUUUUAGAAUAAUAGAUUGAUGAAAAAUGUGUGGUUAAAAAAUAAAAUAAAGUUGUGGGUUUUCGUCUAAUAUUAUUUUAUUGAAGAAUGCGU